CGCAUCUGUUGUAAAUUUCCUGCCGGCAGGAAAUUAGCUUUACCGUACAUUUAUUAUUACCACGCGUGGUGUGCCUUAGAAGAAAGUACAUGUUGACACCUAGAUUAAACGCAUUAUAUUCAUUGGUGGGUAUAUAGACGGUCAGCGAUGGGUUGAUGAGGGAAGAAAAAAGAACAUUGGUCUAUUGUUCUCUUGCGUCCAUGACGACGACUGUUAUCUUCUUCAGUUGUAUCUUAUUUGUUUGUUUCGUCGUCUACUCAAACUAACGAUGGACCAGAAACCAAACUGAAGAAAUGACAGUGUACCUACAGUACGAAUUGUCUUACAACAUUAUAUAGAUUAGAAUAGCAUCACACAACAGAAGUACAAUGUCUUUGGUUAACUUGAGAUAAACAAUAAUCAGAUCCAAUUUAAAUUUAUAUUGGUAGUACAGUGAUAAUACAGUGAUAGUCACAGCGAAACAUCAAAAGCAAAAUGAGUAGCUCUCGGAGAGUUCUCUAGGAACUCGGAAUAGUUUUGGAACACAUCUUUUUUUUAAGACGUCAAUAACUCCCGACCGUUCGGUGUGGAAGAACCCCGGUCCGAACGGAAAGGUUUGGCAGGGAGGAGCGAUGGAACGAAUGAUUGUGUCGUUCGGUGUGGUGGAAGGCCAGCCCGAACCCUCUCAGCCUCUUCCCUCAGCACGUGUACGUAAAACCAAAAAAGGGCUAAAAAGGCCCAGCUUUAUAAACAAAAAACAGUCCUUAAAAAAAAAUCAAAAAAUGACGCUUCUUUUACAAUAGAAACACAAAAAAUCCUGCUACGUGAGCACAUAAAAAACCAGUUAAUGGGUAUGUCUUUGAUCAAAAAGUUUAAUGAAAAAUUCUAAUUCCAGGGUCGAAAAAAAUAUAAUUUGCCGUGGUCCGAAAAUAAAGUAGCGCAAGGUAAAAAAAUCUCAAAUUUGGCAUGCUUAAAAAUAUUAAAAUUUGCCAUGAUGUUUUAAUUAAAAUUGACAUGCUUUGUAUGGAAUUCGAGAAGAAAAACUUAUACAGGAAAAUUGCUGUGGUGUUUUAAUUACACGCAGCCAAAAAAAUAAAAACAUGGAGAAAUUGCCAUGAAACAAAUUUAAAAUUGACCAUGCGAAAUUGCCAUGUAUUUAAACGUAAAUUUGCCAUGGUAAUGAAGUUAAAAAAAUUCCAUGGCAAAAUAAAGUAAAAUUCUGACAUGGCAAAAAUAGAGUAAAAUUUGCCAUGUAUUUAAAUUGUAAAUUUGCCAAGUAUUUUAAGGUAAAAUUGUCAUGGCAAAAAAUAUAGUAAUUUUUUGACGGGGCAAAGUACAGUGAAAAUUGCCAUGUAUGUUCCAGUAAGAUUGCCAUGUAUGUAAAACUGAAGUUGCCAUGGCAAUAAAGUUAAAAAUUUGCCAUGGAAAAUAAAGUAAAAUUAUGACAUGGCAAAAAUAGAGUAAAAUUUCCCAUGUAUGUAGAUAUUAAUUUGCCAAGUAUUUAACCGUAAAAUUGCCAUGGCAAUGAAGGUUAAAAAUUGCCAUGGCGAAAUAAAGUAAAAGUUGACAUGGCAAGUAGAAAGCUAAAUUUGCCAUGCUCCAUAAUUUUUCUUUAUUUUGGCAUUGCAAAUAAAAGGAGAAUUUUUCCAUGACCAAAAAUUGUAAAUUUGACAUGGCAAAAAAGAGUAAAAAAAAUUGCAUGGCAAUGAAAGGAUAUUUUUGCCAUGUUUGUUAAAGUAAAUUUGCCAGGCAAAAUGAAAGGGAAUUUUUGCCAUGUUGUGAUAAAGAAAAGUUGACAUCACAAAAAAAAAUUGCACGCCAAAAUGAAGCUCGAAAUUGUCAUGGCAAUAAACUAAUUUUUUGGCAUGCUAGAAAGUUAAAAAAUUGCCAUGUUCUUAAAAUAUGAAAACCUUAUGAAAUAUAAAAAUGCCAUCGUGAAAAUGCAUAUUAAAUGACCCCAAUAAAGGCGUGUCUGUUCGGCCUGUAGACACCCCUACCCGAACGGAUCGUUUGGGAGGGCAAGGGCAUCGACCGAAUGAUUUGUUCGGGAGGAAAACGAACCAGCAGAAACGCCCCCACCCACCGGGCCCCUACAUGCCUUUUUUCUCUGGAAAAGAAAAAAAAGGCCCAUGUUAAGUUAUGACUAGUAUUAAAGCCCAGUUUUGCUGUAACUAAUAAACUACUAGACUUCUGCACGGCAAAAUUGCCAUGGUCUUUUACCAUUCUAUGAAAGAAAUUGCCAUGUUCAAGUUUAUGUUUUCAUAAAUGGCGUAAAAAAAGGAAGAAGUCAUAGCAAAUCUGCAUCUUUACAAUAGGAAAAGUUGCCAACACUAUGAAGUUCACAAAAAGGGAGAAGUUGCCGUGGCAAGUUUGCCAAGUUUUUGUACAUCUUAAGUUGCCAUGUUUUUGAACAUCUUUUGUUGCCAUGGCAAGUUUGCCAUGUUUUUUGAACAUCUUAGUGAAAGAAGUUUGCCAUUUUUUUGUACAAACUUAAUUACAAAAAAAAGUUUACCAUGUUUUUGCACAUAUUAACUUUGCCAUGGCAAGUUUGCAAAUGUUUUUGACAUCUUAAAUUGCUAUAUCAAAAACAUAUCAUAGCAAAAUUGUGUAAUAAAGAAUAUUAUGAUGUCUGCAAUACUUAUGUGAUGCUACCAAGCUACAUGGCAAAAUGGCCAUGAUGUUGAUAUAUUUCCCCUUGAAAUUGCCAUGGACCCAAAAAAAUGCAGAACAUUUCCAACAAAUUUUCAUGAACUCUAUAACAGCCUACAUACACUGGCCACUACAUUUUUAUGGCAAUUCAACUACAUAAAUUGCCAUAGCUGCAAAAAUUUACACACUGUCCACUGCAUUUUAAUGGCAAAAAUUUCAGUACAAGAAUUACCAUAGCUGCAAACAUACACUAUUCACUGCAAUUUCAGCCNNN
rnacentral:lncRNA from 1 species